rnacentral:rRNA from 1 species
AUUAUUAAGCGGAGGAAAAGAAAGCAAAAGCGAUUUCCCAAGUAACGGCGAGUGAACAGGAAUAAGCCUAGCGCUAAGGCUCAAUAGGAUGAUCAGCAGCAAUGUUGAUCGUCGUUUUCGACAAGCUAUUGAGCGGUGCAGCGUUACAAACCGCGAUGUUUAGUGGUGUCUCUGGGUAGUCGGCCUCGGUCGGCUGCCUCCUAGCCUAGCAUGCAAGUUCCAUUGACUUGGACUAAUUGCACAUGACUUGGUGUCCGGGGCAACCUGGGCGCCUGGUUGAGCCAGAGCGGGUGAGAGCCCCAUACCGUGCAGGCAUUGGCACCACGAAUUGCGGAGGGCCCUUUCGGGGGUCCGCUUUGUUAGAGUCGAGUUGCUUGAGAGUGCAACUUUAAGUGCGAGGUAAACUACUCGUAAGGCUAGCUAAUACUGCUACGACACCGAUAGCAAACAAGUACCGUGAGGGAAAGUUGAAAUAGAACUUUGCAGAGAGAGUUAACAGGGCGUGAAACCGUUAAUUGGCAAACGAAUCGGAGCCACGAAGUCGUUUCGCUGGAGUCGGGCUAGGUUCAGCGGGCAUCGAGAGGUGCUCGUGUAUUUCUGGUCUGACCCAAUGUUUACGUACACUGCAACCAGUUGGACAAUUGGCGAUGGGCCCAGCGGCAGACGGUUUCGGCUGUCUGUUGCGAAGCAUUUGUGCGUCCGAGUUAGUGGUGGCUUGCCGCCGAGCUCGUGUCGCGUGAACUAUCGGCCAAAUACUGACUGGCACAAGUAAAAUCGCCACUGGCGUUUUAAAGAAAGCGCUGGCUGCUUCGAGUAUCCACACAUUUGGCCAUGCGGUCUUAAGCUCAGCAUUUUUGAAUUUGGACUUGCCAGCUACCAGUUGGGGCAACCCCUGGUGCUAGUUUAGCUUCCAUCUAAUCGGAUGUUGACUUGGCCGUGUGAAGUGCGGGUGUGCUACGUUGGGUGCUCGAGGUAGGCUAGUCGCAAUCGAUUAGCAGUGAGUAGGUCGGCUUUCCGAACGACCCGUCUUGAAACACGGACCAAGGAGUCUAAUUAGGCAUCGAGUCGAUCGGUCUUGAAUAGGCCAGAGAAGGCGAAGAGAAAUCAAAUCAUGUGAUCACCUGAGCAACAACAGCUCUAGUGCGCAACAUGUGCCUGUUCGUAUAGCAUUGUCUUGACAUGCUGGGCGGAGCAAAGAGAUGCUUGAUUGGUACCCGAAAGAUGGUGAACUAUGCCUGGGCAGGUUGAAGCCAGAGGAAACUCUGGUGGAGGGCCGUAGCGAUUCUGACGUGCAAAUCGAUCGUCAGACCUGGGUAUAGGGGCGAAAGACUAAUCGAACCAUCUAGUAGCUGGUUCCCUCCGAAGUUUCCCUCAGGAUAGCUAGCGCUCGUCGUGAUUAGUUUCAUCUGGUAAAGCGAAUGAUUAGAGGAAUUGGGAGCGAAACGCUCUCAACCUAUUCUCAAACUUUAAAUGGGUGAGAUGGGCGACAUGCUUAAUUGAUGCCGCCCAACGAAUAAAUGGAGCGCUAAGUGGGCCAUUUUUGGUAAGCAGAACUGGCGAUGCGGGAUGAACCGAAAGCAAAGUUAAAGUUGCCGAUAACAGUGACGAGUCAAUGUCACAUUGCUACACUCAUGAGAUCCCAUAAAAGGUGUGACCCGCUGAAGACAGCAAGGAUGUGGCCAUGGAAGUUGGAAUCAUCUAAGGAGUGUGUAACAACUCACUUGCCGAAGCGCGUCGCCCUGAAAAUGGAAGCAGCUCGAGUGUUGAACUUAUACUUUGCCGUUGGAGCAUCAUUUGAAUAAUGAUUAGUAGGCUCCAACGUGUAGGAGGGUUGUGUUGGUGGCUUUGAAGGGUAUGAGGGAGUGAUCCUGCCUGGAGCCGCCAAUAGUACAGAUCUUGGUGGUAGUAGCAAAUACUCAAGUGAGACCCUUGAGGGCCAAUGUGGAGAAGGGUUCCAUGCUAACAGCAAUUGAACAUGGGUCAGUCGGUCCUAAGAGAAUGGCGAAAGCUAUUUCUGAAUCAAAGGCGGUGUUAACAAAACUAAACGGUCUAGUGUCUAACGAUGUGUUGUGCAUUUCAACAAUGCGUGUAGCUGGGUGCAAACGCUUCGGCAUUCGCAAUUAACCCAUCUACACAGUGGAAAAGCAAUAAAGCAACACACACAGAUAGCAUCGAGACUAAUUUUGAUAAACAUCACCGCAUGACUCGAAAGGGAAUAAGGUUAAUAUUCCUUAACCAAGAUGGGGAGAUUGUUGCUGAGUUGCUCUCACGAGCGGUUCACGCGGCAUUGGCGGUAACGCAAACAAGCGCGUCGACGCCGUCGGCAGAAUGGGGAAGAGUUGUCUUUUCUUUCUAAGUUUACUUAGUUUCCAACGAGUCCCUGGAAUCGAAUCAAUCGAAGAUAGGCGACGUAGUAAACGUAAAAUCAUACGGUUCUAGUAUGAUCCCAAUUUCUGUUGACGGCCCUUGAAAAGACGCGUGCGCGGUGCAUUAACAGGCA